rnacentral:tRNA from 1 species
UAGCUCAGUUGGUAGAGCACUGGUCUCCAAAACCAGGUGUCGGGAGUUCGAGUCUCUC